GAUAACCUAGUGGUCAAGGUAACGGACUCGUGCUCGUCGGGUCAUGAGUUCGAGCCUCGUACCG